rnacentral:rRNA from 1 species
UGGGGAAUUUUGGACAAUGGGCGCAAGCCUGAUCCAGCCAUGCCGCGUGAGUGAAGAAGGCCUUCGGGUUGUAAAGCUCUUUCGGCGGGGACGAAACGGUUCGUGACAACACCACGGACUAAUGACGGUACCCGCAUAAGAAGCACCGGCUAACUACGUGCCAGCAGCCGCGGUAAUACGUAGGGUGCAGGCGUUAAUCGGAAUUACUGGGCGUAAAGCGUGCGCAGGCGGCUCCUUAAGUCAGAUGUGAAAUCCCCGGGCUCAACCUGGGAACUGCAUUUGUGACUGUAUAGCUAGAGUACGGUAGAGGGGGAUGGAAUUCCGCGUGUAGCAGUGAAAUGCGUAGAUAUGCGGAGGAACACCGAUGGCGAAGGCAAUCCCCUGGACCUGUACUGACGCUCAUGCACGAAAGCGUGGGGAGCAAACAGGAUUAGAUACCCUCGUAGUCCCUGAGCGGGCUGGCAAGGCGCAU